rnacentral:rRNA from 1 species
GAUGAACGUUGGCGGCGUGCCUAAUACAUGCAAGUCGAACGAAGACUGUAGUAAUACUGUCUUAGUGGCGAACGGGUGAGUAACGCGUGGGUGACCUGCCCCGAAGUGUGGGAUAACAGUUCGAAAGGAUUGCUAAUACUGCAUAAUAUCCAAGAGAUUAGACGCUUUUGGAUUAAAGGAGUAAUUCGCUUCGGGAGGGGCCCGCGUCCCAUCAGCUAGUUGGUAAGGUAAUGGCUUACCAAGGCGAUGACGGGUAGGGGACCUGAGAGGGUGGCCCCCCACAAUGGAACUGAAACACGGUCCAUACACCUACGGGUGGCAGCAGUAGGGAAUAUUAGUAAUGGGCGAAAGCCUGAACUAGCAACGCUGCGUGUGCGAAGAAGGCCUUCGGGUUGUAAAGCACUUUUUGAGAGGAUGAGGAAGGACGGUACUCUCAGAAUAAGUCUCGGCUAACUACGUG